rnacentral:rRNA from 1 species
GGGUGAAAGGCCAAUCAAACCGGGAGAUAGCUGGUUCUCCCCGAAAGCUAUUUAGGUAGCGCCUCGUGAAUUCAUCUCCGGGGGUAGAGCACUGUUUCGGCAAGGGGGUCAUCCCGACUUACCAACCCGAUGCAAACUGCGAAUACCGGAGAAUGUUAUUACGGGAGACACACGGCGGGUGCUAACGUCCGUCGUGAAGAGGGAAACAACCCAGACCGCCAGCUAAGGUCCCAAAGUCAUGGUUAAGUGGGAAACGAUGUGGGAAGGCCCAGACAGCCAGGAUGUUGGCUUAGAAGCAGCCAUCAUUUAAAGAAAGCGUAAUAGCUCACUGGUCGAGUCGGCCUGCGCGGAAGAUGUAACGGGGCUAAACCAUGCACCGAAGCUGCGGCAGCGACACUAUGUGUUGUUGGGUAGGGGAGCGUUCUGUAAGCCUGUGAAGGUGUGCUGUGAGGCAUGCUGGAGGUAUCAGAAGUGCGAAUGCUGACAUAAGUAACGAUAAAGCGGGUGAAAAGCCCGCUCGCCGGAAGACCAAGGGUUCCUGUCCAACGUUAAUCGGGGCAGGGUGAGUCGACCCCUAAGGCGAGGCCGAAAGGCGUAGUCGAUGGGAAACAGGUUAAUAUUCCUGUACUUGGUGUUACUGCGAAGGGGGGACGGAGAAGGCUAUGUUGGCCGGGCGACGGUUGUCCCGGUUUAAGCGUGUAGGCUGAUUUUCCAGGCAAAUCCGGAAAAUCAAGGCUGAGGCGUGAUGACGAGGCACUACGGUGCUGAAGCAACAAAUGCCCUGCUUCCAGGAAAAGCCUCUAAGCAUCAGGUAACAUCAAAUCGUACCCCAAACCGACACAGGUGGUCAGGUAGAGAAUACCAAGGCGCUUGAGAGAACUCGGGUGAAGGAACUAGGCAAAAUGGUGCCGUAACUUCGGGAGAAGGCACGCUGAUAUGUAGGUGAAGCGACUUGCUCGUGGAGCUGAAAUCAGUCGAAGAUACCAGCUGGCUGCAACUGUUUAUUAAAAACACAGCACUGUGCAAACACGAAAGUGGACGUAUACGGUGUGACGCCUGCCCGGUGCCGGAAGGUUAAUUGAUGGGGUUAGCGGUAACGCGAAGCUCUUGAUCGAAGCCCCGGUAAACGGCGGCCGUAACUAUAACGGUCCUAAGGUAGCGAAAUUCCUUGUCGGGUAAGUUCCGACCUGCACGAAUGGCGUAAUGAUGGCCAGGCUGUCUCCACCCGAGACUCAGUGAAAUUGAACUCGCUGUGAAGAUGCAGUGUACCCGCGGCAAGACGGAAAGACCCCGUGAACCUUUACUAUAGCUUGACACUGAACAUUGAGCCUUGAUGUGUAGGAUAGGUGGGAGGCUUUGAAGUGUGGACGCCAGUCUGCAUGGAGCCGACCUUGAAAUACCACCCUUUA